rnacentral:tRNA from 1 species
GUUUCCGUAGUGUAGUGGUUAUCACGUUCGCUUUACACGCGAAAGGUCCCCGGUUCGAGCCCGGGCGGAAACA